UUGUGUAAAUCGGCUGAGCUACAACCUGAAAACCGUUUAAUGUUAAAAAGGCAGGGAUGACUGGAUAUUUUGAGUUUUUCAAAUGGAAUGCAUGGAACAGGAAAUACCUCUGCACACUGGUUUUUUAUACACUAACAAGAAGCAUGUUAGGAUAUGUUGUCCCUUGCAAGGACUCUCUUCGAACCAUUUCAAGUGUUUUGUCUUGUCCAAGGAACGAAGAAGAACAUCUAAAUGCUGUCAAACGAAAAAACUGCCAAGAUGAAACACAUUCCUGUUCUUCUUUUGAAUAUCACUGUGUUCUUAAUGACUGGAUGAAUGAUACAAUAGAAGUGUGUGCCCCAUCUUUGUUAAUUGUUGGUUAGUGAAAUUUAAAACACAA